rnacentral:rRNA from 1 species
AACGAACGCUGGCGGCAUGCCUAACACAUGCAAGUCGAACGAGAUCUUCGGGUCUAGUGGCGCACGGGUGCGUAACGCGUGGGAAUCUGCCCUUUGGUUCGGAAUAACAGUUGGAAACGACUGCUAAUACCGGAUGAUGACGAAAGUCCAAAGAUUUAUCGCCAGAGGAUGAGCCCGCGUAGGAUUAGCUAGUUGGUGUGGUAAAGGCGCACCAAGGCGACGAUCCUUAGCUGGUCUGAGAGGAUGAUCAGCCACACUGGGACUGAGACACGGCCCAUACUCCUACGGGAGGCAGCAGUGGGGAAUAUUGGAAAAUGGGCGAAAGCCUGAUCCAGCAAUGCCGCGUGAGUGAUGAAGGCCUUAGGGUUGUAAAGCUCUUUUACCCGGGAUGAUAAUGACAGUACCGGGAGAAUAAGCUCCGGCUAACUCCGUGCCAGCAGCCGCCGUAA